GCGGAGGGAUCAUUGCUGGAACGCGCCCCAGGCGCACCCAGAAACCCUUUGUGAACUUAUACCUUACUGUUGCCUCGGCGCUAGCUGGUCCUUCGGGGCCCCUCACCCUCGGGUGUUGAGACAGCCCGCCGGCGGCCAACCCAACUCUUGUUUUUACACUGAAACUCUGAGAAUAAAACAUAAAUGAAUCAAAACUUUCAACAACGGAUCUCUUGGUUCUGGCAUCGAUGAAGAACGCAGCGAAAUGCGAUAAGUAAUGUGAAUUGCAGAAUUCAGUGAAUCAUCGAAUCUUUGAACGCACAUUGCGCCCUCUGGUAUUCCGGAGGGCAUGCCUGUUCGAGCGUCAUUUCAACCCUCAAGCCUGGCUUGGUGAUGGGGCACUGCUUUUACCCAAGAGCAGGCCCUGAAAUUCAGUGGCGAGCUCGCCAGGACCCCGAGCGCAGUAGUUAAACCCUCGCUCUGGAAGGCCCUGGCGGUGCCCUGCCGUUAAACCCCCAACUUCUGAAAAUUUGACCUCGGAUCAGGUAGGAAUACCCG
rnacentral:rRNA from 1 species